UACAGAGAUACCACUGAGCUUGUGAUAGGUGAUGGUGGAAUGCUUUUUAAAAAUAAAACAGACAGCAGUUAUCAAGCCUGUAACAGGGUACUUUGCCCUCUUUGACAUCUUUUGGUAAGUGCUGAUGCAAGCAGCCAGCCAGUUUUCCCAGGUGCAGUGGUUUUUGCAGGCUAAGGAAGUUGGGUUGUCAUGGCUGCAUUCCCACUGGAGCCUAAGACCAGUUAACCCUUUAUGCCCACAGAGAGACGCCACCAGAGUCACAGACCUUUCCUGCUGUCAUUUUUCAUGUGGGGGUGGGCCUGGUAGGUCCCUUUUACCAAUAUAAAGCUAUUUCUGUGCACUUCAGCCUGCCAGCUCUGAAAUCAAGAUAAUAGCUAUGUCAUCAUCCACACGGAUGCUGUAAGUGUAAUUGCACUGCAGAUUAUAAAGUGCUGUACUAAUGGAUACAACAGAGUACCAAAGAUGACCUAAUAAUAUCUGCUCUAACCAGCUUAUCUGCUUUUCAAAUACUGUUAUGAUGUGACUCUGCUCCUUUUGAAAUCAACAAGAGAUUUUGCACAGGUAUGAAAAGAAUUGAGACCUGUCCACAUGGAACAAAUGCUUACUAAAGUGAUUGUUUCAGUGGCUUCAUGCCAGAUCAAGAAAAAUAGUGCAGUCUUUUUCCAUCAUAUUAUGCAUGCUUGGUGCUGGUCAAGAUGUAAUACAGUAAUUAGAAAGAAAGAUUCUCCAAAAAUGUGAUUCUUUCACUGCAAUGAAGUGAAUUUGUCCAACUUUGCUUUCCUCACAGGUCUCCAGGAGAUUCACCAUGCCUGCUUUGAUAAAUAUAUUCAAGGAAAACGCCUUACAGCCUUGUACUGCUUUAUAUUUUUCCACUUAGUCCAUAACUCCCUCUGAUAUGUAUCAGUAACCCGAUGCUACUUCUACAUGCCUGGGUGAGAUCCCAGCUAGUGGGCUACUGUAGCAGAGCAUCUCACCCCCACAAGAGCUUAUCUGUAGUUUGUUAGCCAGUCAGAUAACUGAAACAGCACGAACUGUCUUGUAUUGAAUGAUUUUGAUGCCAUGGGGUCAACACUUGGCAUCUUUAUUGGCAUCUCCCAACUGCCAAUAAAAAUCUUACUGUUGAAGUGAGAUCUGGCAAGAUAGGCUGAAUUUCUGACUGACAGCCACUCACUUUGUGACUAUAAAAGCCACACAAAACCUUCGCAAUGCAGAAAUCUUGUAUACGUUUUCCUGGAAAUGUGUGGAGCUUCUCCCAUGAGUAGGAGCCUACUUCGUGGUUACUCCCCAGGGGUUAAAGUGAAGGCACCUAGGUCCAUUACCUUCAUUUUGGUGACCCAGUAAUGCUGGAUUACUUGGCCAUCCUUUAUGAGAAUGUGCCAUGCAAAUGAUGGGCCUCGUAGGAAGCUCCUAUCAAGUCAUGAAAAGCAUGAAAUAAGUAUAGUGAAAAUGUAUGAGAUGACAAUCCACUCCUGAAUAGAUGGCCAGCGAUCCAUCUUCACCAACACGAUGUAGUUGAACAGCAUCAAGUAGCCUAUGUAGGCCAGCUGUAAAGAAAAAAAUCAGUAUCAAUAAAAUUGAGAUAGUUUCUUGGAUAUGAUUUGAUAUUCCUGAUUCUACUGUAACCAGAGUUUCACAGACAAAAGAACAGUAAGACUGUCCUGGCUUGUCUGAAAAAGCUCACAUUAGAUGGCGUACUGUACGGAAUCUGCAAAACACAUGCACAUAUUUCCAGCUAUAUCUGUUUCCUCAAAAAAACUUUUAUUAAUGCAGUUUCCUUGGAUCAUCCCACAGUGAUGGCAAUUCUAAUACCACUGUGUCAACUACCCAAUUAAGUAACCUACAUGAAGAUUUCUCCCUCAUCUGCUUCUAAA